GACGAACGCUGGCGGCGUGCUUAACACAUGCAAGUCGAACGGAAAGGCCCGGCGCUUGUGGGGUGCUCGAGUGGCGAACGGGUGAGUAACACGCGAGUAACCUGCCCUUGACUUUGGGAUAACUUCAGGAAACUGGGGCUAAUACCGGAUAGGAGCUCCUGCUGCAUGGGGGGGUUUGGAAAGUUUCGGCGGUUGGGGAUGGACUCGCGGCUUAUCAGCUUGUUGGUGGGGUAGUGGCUUACCAAGGCUUUGACGGGUAGCCGGCCUGAGAGGGUGACCGGCCACAUUGGGACUGAGAUACGGCCCAGACUCCUACGGGAGGCAGCAGUGGGGAAUAUUGCACAAUGGGCGGAAGCCUGAUGCAGCAACGCCGCGUGCGGGAUGACGGCCUUCGGGUUGUAAACCGCUUUCGCCUGUGACGAAGCGUGAGUGACGGUAAUGGGUAAAGAAGCACCGGCUAACUACGUG
rnacentral:rRNA from 1 species